rnacentral:rRNA from 1 species
UAGAGUUUGAUCCUGGCUCAGAUUGAACGCUGGCGGCAUGCCUUACACAUGCAAGUCGAACGGCAGCAUGAUCUAGCUUGCUAGAUUGAUGGCGAGUGGCGAACGGGUGAGUAAUACAUCGGAACGUGCCCUGUAGUGGGGGAUAACUAGUCGAAAGAUUAGCUAAUACCGCAUACGACCUGAGGGUGAAAGUGGGGGACCGCAAGGCCUCAUGCUAUAGGAGCGGCCGAUGUCUGAUUAGCUAGUUGGUGAGGUAAAGGCUCACCAAGGCGACGAUCAGUAGCUGGUCUGAGAGGACGAUCAGCCACACUGGGACUGAGACACGGCCCAGACUCCUACGGGAGGCAGCAGUGGGGAAUUUUGGACAAUGGGCGAAAGCCUGAUCCAGCAAUGCCGCGUGUGUGAAGAAGGCCUUCGGGUUGUAAAGCACUUUUGUCCGGAAAGAAAUGGCUCUGGUUAAUACCUGGGGUCGAUGACGGUACCGGAAGAAUAAGGACCGGCUAACUACGUGCCAGCAGCCGCGGUAAUACGUAGGGUCCAAGCGUUAAUCGGAAUUACUGGGCGUAAAGCGUGCGCAGGCGGUUGUGCAAGACCGAUGUGAAAUCCCCGAGCUUAACUUGGGAAUUGCAUUGGUGACUGCACGGCUAGAGUGUGUCAGAGGGGGGUAGAAUUCCACGUGUAGCAGUGAAAUGUGUAGAGAUGUGGAGGAAUACCGAUGGCGAAGGCAGCCCCCUGGGAUAACACUGACGCUCAUGCACGAAAGCGUGGGGAGCAAACAGGAUUAGAUACCCUGGUAGUCCACGCCCUAAACGAUGUCAACUAGUUGUUGGGGAUUCAUUUCCUUAGUAACGUAGCUAACGCGUGAAGUUGACCGCCUGGGGAGUACGGUCGCAAGAUUAAAACUCAAAGGAAUUGACGGGGACCCGCACAAGCGGUGGAUGAUGUGGAUUAAUUCGAUGCAACGCGAAAAACCUUACCUACCCUUGACAUGCCACUAACGAAGCAGAGAUGCAUUAGGUGCUCGAAAGAGAAAGUGAACCCAGGUGCUGCAUGGCUGUCCUCACCUCCUGUCCUGAAAA